ACAAAAAUGCCCUUAUUUUUUUUCUUUCCAGCCCUGCAAAACCAACAUCAUCUCCUUCCUGCAGCAGCAGGUUCUGAUUGUGGGCGGGAUCGGCAUCGGCAUCGGCCUUACUCAGCUGAUCGGGAUGAUUUUUGCCUGCUGCUUGUUCCAUGCGAAGGGAAAAGAGAGCGACAUCGUGUGAACUACAGUCACUACAGGAGAUUGGAGUGUCCAAAAUUAUGUCCGCAGUAUCUAGAAAGUUCUUAUCUUUUCAACAAAGUUGUAUCGAGAUUUAUCAUCUUAUGCUGAGUAUUUUGGAUGGAUAGAAUGUAUUACAAGGAAUAAGACAAAAAGUAAGAAUGUAUUACAAGGAAUAAGAAAAAAUCUUUGUAGAUAAUUGUAGGUGUUUGAGCUAACUUGAGUGAAUCGUUUAUGAUUAUAAUCCAUCAGAUGUUAUGAACCAAGCAGGAAGGGUCGUAGGACACACAUCGCACAAGGAAGUUUAAGAAAACACAUAGGAAGAAUCAUCUGGGCAUUCAUCUGGGCACAGUUAUCAAAGUAAGGCUUUUUUGUUUCACCAGCAGUACAUUCUCAAGGCAAUGACUUGUUUUGAAACAACAAUUAUUCACUGGUGUUUCCACAUAAUCCCCUACGACUCUUCCUGACAAUCUCUUUAACAUUAUUGUAGGUGUUCUGUCCACGAUUAUGAUUGUAAAAAAGUGCAGGAUAUUUUUGUAGACUGAAAUAAUAUGAAAUUGGUAUCCCUUGUUCUCAUAUCAAUCCUAGUCGGAUAGAUCAUGUAUAUGUACUUGUGUAGACGAGUUAUGCUGUACAUUGAGAGCCCGGCUAAAACUUGCAUAUCAUUUUAGUUCGAUUGUGUUGAACAUAGCUUCUGCAACUGCGCCUUGGAUUAUAAAUGUUUGCAUAGAAUUCAGUAACUGAAGCAACAUGUCGAUGUCAUUGCGCAACAUUAUACAUAUCACGUUUUGUACAAAGUCCACAACACUUUCAAGUCUGCCUUGGGGGUGAGAAAAAUCCUGCAAGCUGUCGUGCUUAAAAAUACCGCAAGGUGUCACUGUUUCCAUUCAAAUCAUGGUCUUUGCUUUCUAGCUUGGUGAUUCGACUCUCUGUAUGGAAGAACAAUAUCUUACAGAAGCUGUAAGGUACGUUUCUAGGCACAUAAUUAUGUAUAUGUACUCGCUCUGGGUAAUGCAGUUAAUAGAACAAAAUCUUUUUGGACGUGAA